AGUCGAUCGGUAACAGGUGUAGCAAUACAUGCUGACGAGAGGCGGACGGGUGAGGAAUAUUUGGGAAUCUGCCCAUCAGCGGGGGACAACCCGGGGAAACUCGGGCUAAUACCGCAUACGCUCUACGGAGGAAAGCCGGGGACCGCAAGGCCUGGCACUGAUGGAUGAGCCCAAAUCGGAUUAGCUAGUUGGCGGGGUAACGGCCCACCAAGGCGACGAUCCGUAGCUGGUCUGAGAGGACGAUCAGCCACACCGGAACUGAGACACGGUCCGGACUCCUACGGGAGGCAGCAGUGGGGAAUAUUGGACAAUGGGGGAAACCCUGAUCCAGCGACGCCGCGUGGGUGAAGAAGGCCUGCGGGUUGUAAAGCCCUUUCGGUAGGGAAGAAAUCUCUUGCUCUAACAAAGUAAGGGUUUGACUUAACCUACAUAAGAAGCACCGGCUAACUCUGUGCCAGCAGCCGCGGUAAUACAGAGGGUGCGAGCGUUAAUCGGAAUUACUGGGCGUAAAGCGCACGUAGUCGGCUUGCCAAGUCGGGUGUGAAAUCCCCGGGCUCAACCUGGGAACUGCAUCCGAAACUGGCUUGCUAGAGUAUGGGAGAGGGAGGCGGAAUUUCUGGUGUAGCAGUGAAAUGCGUAGAUAUCAGAAGGAACAUCAGUGGCGAAGGCGGCCUCCUGG
rnacentral:rRNA from 1 species